rnacentral:lncRNA from 1 species
UCAAUAGAAUCUAUCUGAAGUAUGAAGAAAGUUCCUGAUAGGGUUUUUCUUUUGUUUUUUCUUUUGUAGGCCCACAAGGUGAAAAAGGCAAGGAUGGCACGCCUGGCAAAGAUGGUGAGUUAUCAUCAAAUUUAAUAGCCAAAAUAUGUCACUCACAAGAUAACAUCUCACAACGUAUAGCAUAACAUACAUACACAUAACUUUAGCCUAACAUACUUUUGACUCCUGAGCUUCUGUUUGUCUCUGCAGGUAAACCAGGUACUCGGGGUCUACCUGGGCCGAAGGGUGAAGCAGGUGUGAGGGGACCCUCAGGUGUUCCAGGAACAAGAGGAACAUCUGGACCAGCAGGCCCCCGGGGGCCACCGGGCCUCCCAGGAGAGAGGGGUCAGCCGGGGCCUCCCGGACCCCCUGGACCCCCCGGACCACCAGGGCCUCCCGCACCCAUCCCUGAAGACAGUAAGUGCUUUCACUUCACAUCCCUUUACCAACUCUACUCACAGCUCACAGCAACCACUGCUGAUUAAAC